GUUUGAUCAUGGCUCAGGACGAACGCUGGCGGCGUGCUUAACACAUGCAAGUCGAACGGAGAACUUAUUUCGGUAAGUUCUUAGUGGCGAACGGGUGAGUAACGCGUGGGCAACCUGCCCUCCAGUUGGGGACAACAUUCCGAAAGGGAUGCUAAUACCGAAUGUGCUCCCUCCUCCGCAUGGAGGAGGGAGGAAAGAUGGCCUCUGCUUGCAAGCUAUCGCUGGAAGAUGGGCCCGCGUCUGAUUAGCUAGUUGGUGGGGUAACGGCUCACCAAGGCGAUGAUCAGUAGCCGGUCUGAGAGGAUGAACGGCCACAUUGGGACUGAGACACGGCCCAAACUCCUACGGGAGGCAGCAGUGGGGAAUCUUCCGCAAUGGACGAAAGUCUGACGGAGCAACGCCGCGUGAGUGAUGAAGGUCUUCGGAUUGUAAAACUCUGUUGUUAGGGACGAAAGCACCGUGUUCGAACAGGUCAUGGUGUUGACGGUACCUAACGAGGAAGCCACGGCUAACUACGUGCCAGCAGCCGCGGUAAUACGUAGGUGGCAAGCGUUGUCCGGAAUUAUUGGGUUUAAAGGGAGCGUAGGCGGACGCUUAAGUCAGUUGUGAAAGUUUGCGGCUCAACCGUAAAAUUGCAGUUGAUACUGGGUGUCU
rnacentral:rRNA from 1 species